AACGUGAAAAGGGACCGACCUUCGGGAGCCUAUACAGGUGUUGCAUGGCUGUCGUCAGCUCGUGUCGUGAGAUGUUCGGUUAAGUCCGCUAACGAGCGCAACCCUCGUCGUAUGUUAUAUGUGUCAUACGAGACUGCCGGUAAAAAGCCGGAGGAAGGUGAGGAUGAUGUCAAGUCAGCAUGACCUUUAUAUCCAGGGCUACACACACGCUACAAUGGUCUGUACAAUGGGUAGCCAAGCCGCGAGGCGGAGCCAAUCCUGAAAGCAGGCCUCAGUUCAGAUUGCAGUCUGCAACUCGACUGCAUGAAGCCGGAGUUGCUAGUAACCGCAGGUCAGCAAUACUGCGGUGAAUACGUUCCCGGGUCUU
rnacentral:rRNA from 1 species